UACGUAGGGGGCAAGCGUUGUCCGGAUUUAUUGGGCGUAAAGAGCGUGUAGGCGGCCAGGGAGGUCCGUUGUGAAAACUCGAGGCUCAACCUCGAGACGCCGAUGGAAACCCCCUGGCUAGAGUCCGGAAGAGGAGAAUGGAAUUCCUGGUGUAGCGGUGAAAUGCGCAGAUAUCAGGAAGAACACCCGUGGCUAAGGCGGUUCUCUAGUACGGUACUGACGCUGGGACGCGAAAGCGUGGGGAGCGAACAGG
rnacentral:rRNA from 1 species